rnacentral:rRNA from 1 species
GAUGAACGCUGGCGGCGUGCUUAACACAUGCAAGUCGAACGGGAAACCUUUUAUUGAAGCUUCGGCAGAUUUCGCUGGUUUCUAGUGGCGGACGGGUGAGUAACGCGUGGGUAACCUGCCUUAUACAGGGGGAUAACAGUCAGAAAUGGCUGCUAAUACCGCAUAAGCGCACAGAGCUGCAUGGCUCAGUGUGAAAAACUCCGGUGGUAUAAGAUGGACCCGCGUUGGAUUAGCUGGUUGGUGGGGUAACGGCCCACCAAGGCGACGAUCCAUAGCCGGCCUGAGAGGGUGAGCGGCCACAUUGGGACUGAGACACGGCCCAGACUCCUACGGGAGGCAGCAGUGGGGAAUAUUGCACAAUGGGGGAAACCCUGAUGCAGCGACGCCGCGUGAAGGAAGAAGUAUCUCGGUAUGUAAACUUCUAUCAGCAGGGAAGAUAAUGACGGUACCUGACUAAGAAGCCCCGGCUAACUACGUG